UACGUAGGGGGCAAGCGUUGUCCGGAUUUAUUGGGCGUAAAGAGCGUGUAGGCGGCCAGAUAGGUCAGCUGUGAAAACUCGAGGCUCAACCUCGAGACGCCGGUUGAAACCAUCUGGCUAGAGUCCGGAAGAGGAGAGUGGAAUUCCUGGUGUAGCGGUGAAAUGCGCAGAUAUCAGGAAGAACACCGGUGGCGAAGGCGGCUUCCUGGACCGACACUGACGCUGAGGAGCGAAAGCCAGGGGAGCAAACGGG
rnacentral:rRNA from 1 species